rnacentral:rRNA from 1 species
AUUCCAGCUCCAAUAGCGUAUAUUAAUGUUGUUGCAGUUAAAAAGCUCGUAGUUGGAUUUCUGGUCGGGACGUCUGGCCGGCUCCGCAAGGGGUCGUUGCAUUGACUGUACUCGUCCAUCCUCAGGUCGACUAGCUCUGGUAUUUAUUUAACGGUGUUAGAACGCCUGUCGUUUACUGUGAACAAAUUAGAGUGUUCAAAGCAAGGUGUACUUGAAUACAUUAGCAUGGAAUAAUAAGAUAGGACUUUGGUGGUUCUUUUUGAUAUUUUGUUGGUUUGCACGCCAAAGUAAUGAUUAAUAGGAGCAGUUGGGGGUAUUCGUAUUCAAUUGUCAGAGGUGAAAUUCUUGGAUUUAUAGAAGACGAACUACUGCGAAAGCAUUUACCAAGGAUGUUUUCAUCA